GGAAGGCAGCAGUAGGGAAUCUUCCGCAAUGGACGAAAGUCUGACGGAGCAACGCCGCGUGAACGAAGAAGGCCUUCGGGUCGUAAAGUUCUGUUGUUAGGGAAGAACAAGUACCAGAGUAACUGCUGGUACCUUGACGGUACCUAACCAGAAAGCCACGGCUAACUACGUGCCAGCAGCCGCGGUAAUACGUAGGUGGCAAGCGUUGUCCGGAAUUAUUGGGCGUAAAGCGCGCGCAGGUGGUUCCUUAAGUCUGAUGUGAAAGCCCACGGCUCAACCGUGGAGGGUCAUUGGAAACUGGGGAACUUGAGUGCAGAAGAGGAAAGUGGAAUUCCAAGUGUAGCGGUGAAAUGCGUAGAGAUUUGGAGGAACACCAGUGGCGAAGGCGACUUUCUGGUCUGUAACUGACACUGAGGCGCGAAAGCGUGGGGAGCAAACAGGAUUAGAUACCCUGGUAGUCCACGCCGUAAACGAUGAGUGCUAAGUGUUAGAGGGUUUCCGCCCUUUAGUGCUGCAGCUAACGCAUUAAGCACUCCGCCUGGGGAGUACGGCCGCAAGGCUGAAACUCAAGAA
rnacentral:rRNA from 1 species